rnacentral:lncRNA from 1 species
CGGGGUUGUAGUUCGCUUGCUCCUGUCACAUCAUUUCUCUCACCUGUCCGCUUUGGGAUACGAAGAGAGGCUUCUGCGUCAAGCCUAUAUUUCGUGUUAAGGAUCUAGGGGAGGUCUUCUAGCUCCUGUCUGCCAAUGCCUACAAGUCUUCAAGGAGAGGAGCCCAUCAUCCAGUUGGGACCGUCACCCUAAUAGGAGGAUGCAGAGCAGCUGCUGUAUGGAAAAUGUGAGUGGCAUCACCAUAGACAGGGAGAACAGGAGAAAUGCAGCAUUGGGUUACGUUAAAACAUCUCAUUUAGCAAAGGUAAACCCGGUGAAGGGGAAACUUAAAAGAAAAGUCAAUCAAGGUGGUAGAGACUGACACAUGGAUUAGGAGUGAAGCAGAGGGUC